rnacentral:rRNA from 1 species
UACGAAGGGGGCUAGCGUUGCUCGGAAUCACUGGGCGUAAAGCGCACGUAGGCGGCUUGUUAAGUCAGGGGUGAAAUCCUGGAGCUCAACUCCAGAACUGCCUUUGAUACUGGCGAGCUUGAGUCCGGGAGAGGUGAGUGGAACUGCGAGUGUAGAGGUGAAAUUCGUAGAUAUUCGCAAGAACACCAGUGGCGAAGGCAGCUCACUGGUCCGGUACUGACGCUGAUGUGCGAAAGCGUGGGGAGCAAACAGG